rnacentral:lncRNA from 1 species
GUCCAGUGGGCAGGCUGGUUAGAGUUCCUCUAGGGGCCCCCUCCCACCUGGCUGUCUCACUUACAACUUCCCUGUUCUGUAUGAUGUUGUCUAUGAGUUUGUCAUACAUGACUUGUAUUAUUUUGAGGCUCAGAAGUACAUAUUCAGGUUUGUUGUACAGUUCUGCCCCAUGCCACUCCCCACCACCAUGAGAAAACCAAGAGGACAGGCCUCACUAGGAAAAAAAAAAUUAGCCAGUACCUUGACCUUGGACUUCCCAGCCACCAGAACUCUCCCAGACUUCAUCCUGCUUCAGCUCCUGUCAUCCUGUGCUGUGGAAUUCCUAAACCUCUUAGCUUGAGCCCUGCAACGAUCUGAUUUUCACUCCGUUCUAGGAAGGUUCCAUUCUUCAGUGUGGAGCACAUAUAAGUAUGCAUCUAUAUUGGAGAAAUGAAUGCUAAACAAACGAGGACUUCCUGCUCCUUGUUCUUGGGCCUUCAGGUUUGAACUGGACUUAUACCACUGACUCCCUGCUUAGACUAGAACUAUAUCACCAUCUUUCCUGAGCCCCCAGCUUUCAGACAGCAGAUCAUUGGCCUUCCUAGCUUCCACGAUCAAAUUGGAAAAGCAUUGGAAAAUUUGUCCAAAGUCACUCAACAGAUUCAUGAUGGAUCCUGGAUUCACAGCCAGCUUUACUUGGCAAUAAAAUUCAAGUCCUGUUCACAUCACAACACAUUUUUACCGAAAGAAAAAUAUGAUGUGUAGAUGUUUGGAGGCAUCCUAUCUUAAUGAGGCUUUUGUUAGAAAGAGUUUUCUUAAAAUUACAGGGUUGGGGAAAUAAAAAAUGUUUGUUGCUCAGAUUAACAAAAAAAUGGUAUAUAGAAAAUAAAGCUAAGAAAGGAAAGUGCAGACAACCAAGAGACUAGAAUUUUCAAUAAAUGGCAAAAUUGUGGUGUUCUGUGGUUACCUCUUGAAGAUUUGGCCUGAAUCAUGCAACAAUUGCCCCUUACCCUCAGUCCUCAAAUUACAAUAGUGAAAGAGGUUUCUAUAGGUAUUAUAUUUGAAUCUGCUAUAUUUUGUUUAUUACUUGCAAGGACAUAUAGGAGAGCAAAAGUUUUCCCUCUAAUUUCUUAGGUUUAGUAACUGGAACUUGUGAAUUAAACUGGCAAAAUACAGAUUAACAGGAGAAGAGUCAUAGACAUUUUAUUUUAAAUUUCAUAUGCAAUGUAGUUCCAGAGAAAAGAAGUGAAAGCCUGAAGAAGCAAUUAGACUUGAGGAGUUAUAUCUUUAACAAAGGGUGGUGAGUGUAGAGAAGUGACUAGAUUUUUUUUAAGAUGGUUUUAGGCUUCCAAGGGUGAUAAACCAUGGGAAGGAAAAUACAUGAGGGAAACUAAUGGUAUAUAGGAGUUAUUUAGUAAGGUUUGUUUACACAGACUAAUCUCAGUGGUAAGAACGGUUUUUCUCCUUUUUCUGGUCAGGGGAAGGAGAAGGGACACCAUCACAAUGGGAAUUUGUGCUUUGCUGGUAGACAAAUAGGAGCAGAGCAGAGAACUUCUUUCUCUCAAUUGUCUUCAGCUCAGAAUAAUCCUUAUGCCAAACAGGCAUAAUUUGGAAUUACAUAUUUUCAUCCUCUCCACACACAAGCUUCCGUAUAAAGUUCAAAGACAGUAGUAUUUUCUUAUAAUUCACUCUGCCCCAAAUAUUAACUAAGAUGACAUUCUUUUUCCAGCUUGAUUCUGCAACAUUCACUUCCAGAAACUUUAUCACUCUUAAUCCUGGAUUGAAGGAAAAUAUUUGAAUGUGAUAAAGGAUAUAUAUUUUAAAAAGAAAGGAACUAUAAUAAAAGGCAAGAUUCAGAAAUUAUGUUGUAAUCUGUGACUUAGUGCAAUUUAGUCCUUGAAUUUCUUGUGUGCAAUUUAUUGAAGCUAUCUUAUUAUAUGUUAAUUCUGUGUCUUCUUUGCCCUCUCUUUUUGUAAAAAUUUUCUUUUUCUGAAUUUUUUUCCAGAGUCAAUCAUUGAUCUUCUUGAUAACAUUCAUUUCCCUUGGUGAACUAACUUUGGUUCAUCGCUUUAUCAUUCUUCUCCAGGCUGUUUUUGAAGGGUCUGUGAGCUGAGAAUGGUUUUUAAUAGAUAAAUGCUCACAAUCAAUUUGGGGAUAAGAAAUAUUAUUUUGAAUCUCAGUUACAAAAAAUGUUAUCCUUCAUAAAAUAAUUCAUUUUUUUCUCAGUAAUAAAAAUGUAUUUCAAAAAUAUGGUGUCCUUAUUAUAUUUUAAAUUUUGCCAAUAAAAAUAAUAAAAAUUGAUUUUCUCUAAUUAUGUAAGUACCUAGAUGAUUUUUAAAAUUUUGUCUCUUGACUUAUACAAAGCCUAAAAUAUUUAUAACUGCC